rnacentral:ncRNA from 1 species
GGAGUAGGAACAGUGCGUUAAGUACCGAGCGGAUGGGAGGUUGCCGUCGGGCGAAGGCAUUUUCGGAUGCCGCGAUACUGUUACCGCAACCGCCU